UGAAAAAUUCAUUUAACAUUGCUUCUGUAUACCUAUAUAAGCAUGUGUUUUCUUUGAAUUGCUGUGUGGGUUCAGAGGGAUGACACCUGGGGGAAAACAGAUGUCUGAGCAUGACCUGAGGGGGUCAUUGGGCCAUAUAGUGGGGGAGCAAUGCUUAGGGAUGACCUGAGGGGGUCACCCAAGUCCUAAAUGUGUGGGAAGGGAUUCACAGAGAAUGUGUUUUAUGUUAUCCAUGGAAAAUUUUAGCUGUUCAGUGUGUGCAACCUUGGAAGAGCAGAGGUAUAUAAGGUGGAGGACUGCCCUCUUUCUGGGUCGGUUUCACUCUGCAGGAACUCAGUGUUGCUGUAUGACUGUCUGACCUUCUUUGCAAAGAAUAAAAGCUUUCUUUUUUAAUUA